GUGUGUGUGUGUGUGUGUGUGUGUGUGUGUACCAGUGUGCAUGUUAGUGUGUAUGAGUGUACAAUGUUAUAUUAAGUGCAUGAGCAUGCAUAUGCAUGUGUGUGUGUUUGUGUGUGUGUGUGGUUGUGUGUUUGUGUAUGCAAAUACAUGUAAGUGUGUAAUUGUGUAUUUGAUUCCAUAGCAGGAAGAGGGUACGAGAGCACAACAGAAAACAACCAAGCUUGAGGAGGAUUUAGAGUUCACUAAGGCGGGUAUUAUAGGAAGAGUGUCUUCACUUCUGGUUACGGCAAAACAAAUUGCCACGAUGUGGGUCACAGUCAUAAGAUGCAGUUUGUGAUGCGCUGCAAACACCCAGGGUGGCAGUGGCAGGGUGCUAUUGACGAUGUGGCAACAACUACAAUUUAAAUGAUGUAUUUUGUGUUCCCUUGAUUCCAAAUAGGAUUACAAGUCAUGCCAAAAUAAGGAGACCACACUCGACAUGCAAUGGAAAUCAUAUUUCUUCAUUGGCGUCGAAUCCCACAGCAAGUAUCCUCCGUAUUAAUGUCAUGCACGUGUGAAGACGACUAUCAGGGUGUUAGCGGGUCAAGGCACCACACACACACACAUAUGCACACACACACACACACACACACACACACACACACACACACACACACACACACACACACACACACACACACACACACACACACACACACACACACACACAC
ensembl:lncRNA